CUGAGAUCCAACGGCCACCCGCGGAUCUAGCCUGAACAAAAACAGGUUCACAACGCCAGCGGGGGGAAACCCUAGUUCAUUCGCCCCCAGCCCCCACGCCUCUCCCUGCAUCUCUCGCUCCGUGAUGGCGGAGCCAAGGAGCUUUGCUCCGGCCGCCCGGUCCGGCCGCCGGCGUCGGCUGCCACCGCGCCGCGCGCGUCUACUCUCCCUUCCCUUUCCCUUCUUCUUUCUUUUCCUCUGUCCUGUCGGGGAAAAAGGGCAGCGCCCUUCUUGGCUGCUCCGGCCGCCGGUGACGGCGGCGAGAGCCACCGUGCCCCGCUGUGCUCUCCUUUUCCCUUCCCCCUUCUCUCACCCAUCCACCACCUCCUCCUUCCUGCAGAAAAAGAGAGACCCGAGAGGUCCCGCGCCAUCAAACGCAGCGCCCCCGCUGACCCCUUUGUCGGCGUGCGCGAGCACCACGAGGGUAAACGCGCCGCCGUCAAACGGCUUGGUGGUGGUGCUCUUUGCCCCUGAAAAGGGGUGGUGUUCUUCUUCUCGAUGCCUCGGCUUGCCGAUGCGCAUCGAGAUCAAGAGGAACGGCGUGGCCUUGCGGCGGCGCUACUUUUUUCGUUUCUGUGAAGGAUUCGUUCUUUGCCCUGUCUAGGGUUCUUGGGGGAGGGGAUCUCUUUUUCUUUUUCUGUUUUUGUUUCUUUGUACCAAAAUCAUCUAGCCAGUGGCAUCUGAUACCAUUGAUAUAUCCUUUGGAUCGGGGUAGGCUAGAUCAUCCGGUAAGCAUACCUUCUUUGGGUGCGGAUGAGCUCGAUCCAGCGCCGGCCAUGGUGAAGUAGGGGCCGGUUAUAGCAGAGAGAUCGAGAUGGAGAGGUGGCAGUGGUGCUUCCCGUGAGCACUGUGAUUGCCCUAGAUCGGAAGGGAUUUCGGUGGGGAGUCUGGCGGCGCGGUUAACCUCGUACCGUGUGCCCCGGCCCCCACCUCUAUAUAUCGCAGGUCACAGGGGCCCACCAGCCAUAAGAGGGUUCGGCGCCCCCGAUCAGGGCGGGAAUAGAUCAGGGCCCGAUGGGCCGUUGAGCCCGCUCGGUGGAGAGAUCAACCUAACAUUCCCGACGUUACUGCGACGAAGCUCCGAACUUGUUGGUACGCAGUGGCAGCACACUCUCCGCAACGAUGACCCAUGAUCUCUGUAUUUGUAAGUCGCCGCAUGGAGUGGAAGGCAUAUAUGCGGUCCAUGCAUAUGCCUGCAGUGGAUCUGCCCAACACACAUAUGUUCAUGCACCACGAUAUUCAGAUUGCAAAACUAUUUCGUUUAUGGCUUUUGAAUGACAAAGCACUUGCUCGUGGUGUAAGAUUGAAUUGUGCUAUGACUUUAUGCGUUAUGCUUUCAAAUAUUGUAUGUAUUCAAUUGGUGUGAGCUCGUAAACUAUAAUCGACACUGUCUAUUCCUGUUGUGCGUGUUGAAUAACUCAACCAUUUGUGUGCAAGAA